UACGGGGGGGGUAAGCGUUGUUCGGAAUUACUGGGCGUAAAGGGCUCGUAGGCGGCCAACUAAGUCAGACGUGAAAUCCCUCAGCUUAACUGGGGAACUGCGUCUGAUACUGGAUGGCUUGGAUUUGGGAGAGGGAUGCGGAAUUCCAGGUGUAGCGGUGAAAUGCGUAGAUAUCUGGAGGAACACCGGUGGCGAAGGCGGCAUCCUGGACCAAUAUUGACGCUGAGGUGCGAAAGCGUGGGGAGCAAACAGG
rnacentral:rRNA from 1 species